AGAGAGAGAGAGAGAGAGAGAGAGAGAGAGAGAGAGAGACAGAGAGAGAGAGAGAGAGAGAGAGAGAGAGAGAGUGUGUGUGUGUGAAAAAUGGAUAAUCUUUGUGGGGUUGUGGAAUUUAUUGUAAUGUUUAAAGUGAAAUGAGAUUUGUAUGAAUGUGGUUGUGAUUGUGUGGAGCAGUGAAUGUGAAAUGAACAGAAUGAUGUGGUGGAAUGAAUGAGAUGAACUAAUGUAAAGGAAUGAAGGACAGAUGAUUAUGAAGAGGAAUGAAUGAAUGAAUAAAUGUGGAAAUGGAAUGAAGAGAAUGAUGUGGUGGAAUGAAUGAGAUGAAAUAAUGUAAAAAGAAUGAAGGAGAGACAAUUAUUAAGAGGAGUGAAUGAAAGAAUGUGAGGAUAGAAUGAAUGCAAUAACAUGUAAAGAAAGGAAUGAAUGAAAGAAUGUGGGAAUGACAAUGAAAAAAAAAGACAAGAUUAUCCAGAAAAAUGAAAGAAAAAUAAGAUGCAGUAGAGGAAAAGAAUGAGAAAAAUGAGAAAAAAAGUGAAGGAAUGAGAUGAGAGGAGGAGGAGGCUGUACAAAUAUUGUGGUCCAUUUUGUAGUGUAAGAGAGUGGAGGAGGUGGAAAUGGUUGACUGGCGGAAGAAAGACUAGACAGCUCUGUGUGUGUGUGUGUGUGUUUUUUUUUUUUUCCCAUUUCCUUUAUUACAAGUCUGUUUUUCUGUCCCUGAUAAAUGAAAAAGGGAAAUAAUCGAGUAAAAUAUAAACAGAUUGAGAAAUAAACCUAUGUAUUUUGAUGAGUGAGUGUUAAUAUUGAAAAAAAAAAAAAAAAAGGAGAGAAAUUGGUGAUUGAAAAGGUGGAUGAGAAAUUAAUUUGUUCUUUUUGACGAGUGCAUUUAUAUUGAAAAAAAAGAGAAGGAGAAAGAGAAAAAGAAAGACUAGUGGCUGAAAAGGUGGAUGAGAAAUUAACUGAUUGAUUUUGACGAGUGAGCGUUAAUCUUAAAAAAAAAGGAGAAGGAAAAGAAGAAGAAAAAACUGAUGAUUGAAAAAAAAAGGAAAAACAAUAAACGGAUUAAUUUUGACCAGUGUUUAUAUUGAAAAAAAAAAGGAAAAGAAGAGAGAGAGAGAGAGAGAGAAAGGCUGGUGAAAGAGAGAGAGCUUGAAUGAAAACAGAGAAAUAAGGUGAGAGUUUUCAUACCAUAAAAAGGAGAAAAGAUUGGUGACGAAUACAGAGAAGCUUUAAACUAAUAUGAAAAGAGAGAAAGCUUGAAUGAAAACAGAAAAAUAAGCUGAGUUUUCUUAGCACAAAAAGGAGAAAGAUUGAAGAAUACAAACAGACAAGCUUUAAACUAAUCAUCUUUUCUGUUAAAGUGCAAAACAAGAGAGAGAGAGAGAGCUGGUGAUUGAAAACAGAGAGAAAGCUUGAAUGAAUAACAAAAAAGCAUAUCUAACAAAUGAGCAUUUUUCAUUUAGUGCAAAAAAAGAGAUUGGUGAAGAAUAGAAAGAGAGAAGCUUAAACUAACAACCUUUUCCGAUAGUGGUGAUUGAAAACAGACAGCUUGAAUGAAAAGAGAAAAAUAAGCUUAAUCAACAAGUCCUCUUCCAUUCAGUGCAAAAAAUAAAUGGAGAACUGGAGUGGAUUAAAAAAUGUAGAACGGAAUGGCAAUAAAAGCUUACUUAAUGAGCUUUUCUUUAGUGCAAAGGAGAGCUUGGCGAUUGAAAAAACUGAGAAAGCUUGAAUGAAAAAGAGAAAAUAAGCUUAAUUGUAGAUGCUUGAAUGGAAUGGCAAAAAAAGCUUAAGCGACAAGUUUUAAUUUAGAGCAAUGGAGAGUUCUUGGCAAUUGAAAAAUAGAGAAAGCUUGAAUGAAAAAGAGAAAAAUAAGCUUAAUUGUAGAUGCUUGAAUGGAAUGGCAAAAAAAGCUUAAGUGACGAGUUUUAACUUAGUGCAAAGGAUAGGUUGGUGAUUGAAAAAGCAGAAAGCUUGAAUGAAAAAGAGAGAAAUAAGCUUAAUUGUAGAUGCUGGAAUGGAGUCUCAGAAAAAGUUUACCUAAUGAGUUUUUAUUUGGAGCAAAUGAGAGGUUGGCAAUUGAAAUACAGAGAAAGCUUGAAUGAAAAGAAGAAUAAGCUUAAUUGUAGAUGUUGGAAUGGAGUGGCAAAAAAAGCUUACCUGACAAUUUUUAUUUAGUGCUAAGGAGAACUUGGUGAUUGAAAAACAGAAAAAUAAGCAUAAUUGUAGAUGCUUGAAUGGAAUGGCAAAAAAAAGCUUAAGUGAUGAGUUUUUAUUGAGAGCAAAGGAAAGUUCUUGGCAAUUGAAAUAGAGAAAGCUUGAAUGAAGAGAGAAAUAAGCUUAAUUGUAGAUGCUGGAAUGGAGUGGCAAAUAAAGCUUACCUGAUGAGUUUUCAUUUAGAGCAAAGAAGAGUGCUUGGUGAUUGAAAAUCAGAGAAAGCUUGAAUGAAAAGAGAAAUAAGCUUAAUUGUAGAUGCUGGAAUAGUGAAAAAGCUUACCUGACAAGUUUUUAUUUAGUGCAAAGGAGAAACAGAGAAAGCUUGAAUGAAAAAGAGAAAUAAGCUUAAUUGUAGAUGCUGGAAUGGAAUGGCAAAAAAAGCUUACCUAAUGAGUUUUUAUUUAGUGCAAAGGAGAGUGCUUGGUGAUUGAAAAACAGAGAAAGCUUGAAUGAAAAAGAGAGAAAUAAGCUUAAUUGUAGAUGCUGGAAUGGAAAAGAACUUACCUGUCAAGUUUUUAUUUAGAGGAAAAGGCAAGAUUAGUGAUUGAAAACUUUUGAUACUGAAAUGAAGUCAAUGUAAAAAUGAACGACUUAUUUAGACGACAACUCUGUUUAGUGAAGAAGGGAAGAGAUUGGGGAGAAAUAAUUAAACUAACACAUAAACACUGCAGCAAAUACUUAAGUUUCUCUCAAUGGCUGUCUGGCGCCCUCCCCAUAAAAAAAAAAAAAAAAUAAGAGAAAGGAACGCAUCGCUGUUUAGUGCAAAAGGGAAAAGAUUAGUAAGAAAACCGCUGAACAUGGCAGCAAAUACUUAGUGAUCUUGUGGCUGCCUGGCACUCUCCCCGUAAAGAAAGAAGAAAGUGGAGAUAAGAGGAAUAAGGAAAUGAAAACCUUAUCAAGUAUUUAGUGCAGAAGGGAAACAAUUAGUGGGGGAAUAACACAUGAACACUGCAGCACUCAAGUUACUCAGUGUUCUACCUUGUGCUUUCCCCAUAAAGAAAAAAAAAAUGAAGAUGAACAAGGAAAUGAAAACACAGUGUUAUUGGGUGAAAAAGGGAAGAGAUUGAGGAGAAAAAAAUAGUAAAUGAACACUUGAGCAAAUAUUUAAGUGACUCCGAUGGCUGUCUGACACUCUCCAUAAAGAAAACGAAAGUAAAAAAUAGAAGAACGAGGAAAUUUAAGCUCUCCUUCAACUAACACACCUCUUAUUUAGUGCAAAAGAGAAGAGAUUGGGGAGAAUUUGCAUGAACACUUGAGCAAAUAUAUAAGUGACUCCGAUGGCUGUCUGACACUCUCCAUAAAGAAAACAAAAAUAAAAAUAGAGGAAGAAGGAAAUUUAAGCUCUCCUUCAACUAAUACAUCUCUUAUUUAGUGCAACAAGGAGUAGAUUGAGGAGAAAUAACACAUGAACACUGCAGCAAAGACUUAAAUUUACCCUUGUGUUCUGCCUGGUGCUCUCCUUAUUAAGAAAGUGAAAAAUAGAGGAGGAAGGAAACGAAAUGUCUUGAAGUAUCUUGAAAUAUGUACUCUAUCUAAUAAAUUGCCGUGAUAAGUCCAGGUGUGAGGCUGAAUGAAAAACAAAGGAAGAAGGAAAUUAAACUCCCCCCUUGAAGUACUUUGAAAUACGUACUCAACCCCUUAAAUUGCUGUAAAAAAUGUCAAGUGGCGCCCAACUGCUCUCCCAAAAUUAAAAAUAAGAGGAAAAAGGAAAUAAAAACCCUCCUUAAAGAACCUUAAAAUAUGUACUGUACCCCACAAAUUGCUUUAAAAAAUGUCGUAGUGCCCGAAACACUCGUAAAGUGCAAAGGAACAAUGAAAUUAACCCCCCCCCCUUGAAGAACCUAGAAAUAUGUACUAUACCCCACAAAUUGCUGUAAAAAUGUCAAGUGGUGCCCCAAAUGGUCUCGUAAAGUGCAAAGGUACAAGGAAUUUAAGCCACGCCCUUGAAGAACCUUGACACACUUACCCGAGCCCAGAAAAUCCCAUAGAAAAGCCAAAUUUAUAUAAAAAAUGCAAAGGUGACACAAGACAGUAAGGGAAGCUGCCAGGGGUCACCAGGUCUGUACGUGACAUUACCUGUUGUGAACGAGAGGUGAACGGUGGUGCCGAAACAUAUGAGUGACCUGACCUGACCUGACCUAGUAAUGGCAAAUGAAAAAAAAUAAACGCUAAUUGACUUUCGUGAUGCAAAAUGAAAGAAAUAAACAAAACAGUCUGGGUAUUCAUUAAAAGCAUACCACUGCAGUAUACCUGAGUGUAAAUAUACAUACAUACAUACAUACACUAUAUUACUACUACUACUACUACUGUAAGUGAUGCUUUGAAGUAACUUGAAGUGUACUCCUGUGUAUUACUGCAAUGUCCAACUCAAGACAUCAAUGUAGUGUGUGUUACAAUGCCAUGUUAACUAUUUAAGAGGGGUGUGUGUAUGUGUGUGUGUGUGUGUGUGUGUGUGUGUGUGUGUGUGUGUGUGUGUGUGUGUGUGUGUGUCUGUGUGGCCAUUGGGUGUCUCUCAGUAUAGUGCUGCUGCUGCUGCUGCCACUACCCUGGCAAUACAGUAAUACAGUGUUGCAAUCUGGA